rnacentral:rRNA from 1 species
UACGGGGGGAGCAAGCGUUGUUCGGAUUUACUGGGCGUAAAGGGCUCGUAGGCGGCCAACUAAGUCAGACGUGAAAUCCCUCGGCUUAACCGGGGAACUGCGUCUGAUACUGGAUGGCUUGAGUUUGGGAGAGGGAUGCGGAAUUCCUGGUGUAGCGGUGAAAUGCGCAGAUAUCAGGAGGAACACCGGUGGCGAAGGCGGUUCUCUGGGCAUUACCUGACGCUGAGGAGCGAAAGUGUGGGGAGCGAACAGG